AGGACUGAUCACUGCACAUCUACAUAAGCACAACUGUGAAUCCGUCACAAAAAUAGAAACUGCUCUUGUUUUUAAGGAGUCAGGUAACAAAAAAAAACACUGAUGGUUAUUUUCACAUGGUAAGCGACAGAAAUAGGGAGGUCAUGACCUCACAGUGUCGCAUUUCAUGUUUGUUCAUAAGACCUCUCCCGCAAGACCUAAAAUGCUUCAUAGCAUGUGUAUCAAGGUGCCAGUGUCUUUAGGACCAUCGAAGAGCUGGUUAGCUGGCUCUAGCACUCCACAGAGUGGCAGGGAUGUUGACGUGUUUCCUGACAUCUUCAGAAGACCCACAGACAAGCCCAUGGGUAUUUUCCGGCUCAGCUUGUUUCGGGUGUGGUCUACAAGCAGAGGACCCCCAGGGAGGCCAUGGUUCCUGUCUUGCUUUGGCUGUUAAAUAAUACACUGCAAAAGACAGAACUGGAAAUGAAAUGUAAUCUGGCGUCAAGGCUUUUACACAGUGCAAUGGAAGGGGCGUGCUUUGGACGUGAUAGCUGAGCCAUAAAAAUGUACAAGGA